GUGCUCGCUUCAGCAGCACAUAUACUAAAAUUGAAAUGACACAGAGAAGAUUAGCAUGGCCCCUGCACAAGGAUGACAUGCAAAUUCAUGAACUGUUCCAUAUCUUU
rnacentral:snRNA from 1 species